AUGGAGAAGACGUUAGAAACAAAGCUCAAUAACAAGUUUAAUGAAUUGCUCGUGCGUCUUCCACCACCACCACCGGCUGCACCUAACGAACAACUACUAGUAGUACUACUACAACAACUACUACUACUACCUCGACGUCGCAAAACAACCCUCCGCCGAGCGAGCUGUGUCCCUCUUGCGCCUGGCCAAACUGUUGGUGCUGCUGUUGAUACUUCUGUGGCUCCUGCUGCUGAUAACGAGGAGGAUGAUUAUGCGGGAGAUUACGAGGAUGAGGUUGAUCAAAAUCAGAACUACGUGCAACCACCAGCACCACAACCACCAGGUCGUCCACAUGCAAAUAAUCACAAUGGUAGGGCUCCCCCUCAGGUACGAGAUCAUGACCAUCUCCCUAAACUGAAAUUGAAUAUUCCACCAUUUGAGGGUAGAUACGUUCCUGAUAUAUAUCUUACUUGGGAGUAA
rnacentral:rRNA from 1 species